GGGGGSGGGGYUAAUACAUGCUGAUUAGAAGCUUGCUUCUAUGACGUUAGCGGCGGACGGGUGAGUAACACGUGGGCAACCUGCCUGUAAGACUGGGAUAACUUCGGGAAACCGAAGCUAAUACCGGAUAGGAUCUUCUCCUUCAUGGGAGAUGAUUGAAAGAUGGUUUCGGCUAUCACUUACAGAUGGGCCCGCGGUGCAUUAGCUAGUUGGUGAGGUAACGGCUCACCAAGGCAACGAUGCAUAGCCGACCUGAGAGGGUGAUCGGCCACACUGGGACUGAGACACGGCCCAGACUCCUACGGGAGGCAGCAGUAGGGAAUCUUCCGCAAUGGACGAAAGUCUGACGGAGCAACGCCGCGUGAGUGAUGAAGGCUUUCGGGUCGUAAAACUCUGUUGUUAGGGAAGAACAAGUACGAGAGUAACUGCUCGUACCUUGACGGUACCUAACCAGAAAGCCACGGCUAACUACGUGCCAGCAGCCGCGGUAAUACGUAGGUGGCAAGCGUUAUCCGGAAUUAUUGGGCGUAAAGCGCGCGCAGGCGGUUUCUUAAGUCUGAUGUGAAAGCCCACGGCUCAACCGUGGAGGGUCAUUGGAAACUGGGGAACUUGAGUGCAGAAGAGAAAAGCGGAAUUCCACGUGUAGCGGUGAAAUGCGUAGAGAUGUGGAGGAACACCAGUGGCGAAGGCGGCUUUUGGUCUGUAACUGACGCUAAGCSAGCGUGGGGARCCAC
rnacentral:rRNA from 1 species